GAUGAACGCUGGCGGCGUGCCUAAUACAUGCAAGUCGAGCGAACAGACGAGUUGCUUGCUCCUCUGACGUUAGCGGCGGACGGGUGAGUAAUACGUGGAUAACCUACCUAUAAGACUGGGAUAACUUCGGGAAACCGGUGCUAAUACCGGAUAAUAUAUUGAACCGCAUGGUUCAUUAGUGAAAGACGGAUUUGCUGUCACUUAUAGAUGGAUCCGCGCCGCAUCAGCUGGUUGGUUAGGUAACGGCUUACCAAGGCACCGAUGCGUAGCCGACCUGAGAUUGUGAUCAGCCACACUGCAGGUGAGAGACAGUCCGGACUCCUGCUGACGGCACCCUUUGUGUGUGUCCCGCGAUGGGCGCAGGCCUGACGGAGGAACGCCGCGUGUGUGAUGACGGCCUUCUGACCGUCUGGCACUGUUAUUAGCGAAGAACGAAUGUGUAAGUCACUAUGCACGGCGUCACCGUCCCUAGUCAGACCAGCGCGGCCUACUCCCUG
rnacentral:rRNA from 1 species